UGCCAGCCGCCGCGGUAAUACGAAGGUCCCGAGCGUUAUUCGGAAUCACUGGGCGUAAAGAGUACGUAGGCGGUUUAGUAAGUCAGGUGUGAAAUCCCGGGGCUCAACCUCGGAACUGCACUUGAUACUGCUAGACUGGAGUAAUGGAGAGGCAGGUGGAAUUCUCGGUGUAGCAGUGAAAUGCGUAGAGAUCGAGAGGAAGACCAAUGGCGAAGGCAGCCUGCUGGACAUUUACUGACGCUGAGGUACGAAGGCUAGGGUAGCGAAAUGGAUUAGAUA
rnacentral:rRNA from 1 species